rnacentral:rRNA from 1 species
CAGUAGCCACGGUAAUACGUAGGGUGCGAGCGUUAAUCGGAAUUACUGGGCGUAAAGCGUGCGCAGGCGGUUUGUUAAGACAGAUGUGAAAUCCCCGGGCUUAACCUGGGAACUGCAUUUGUGACUGGCCGGCUAGAGUAUGGCAGAGGGGGAUGGAAUUCCGCGUGUAGCAGUGAAAUGCGUAGAUAUGCGGAGGAACACCGAUGGCGAAGGCAAUCCCCUGGGCCUGUACUGACGCUCAUGCACGAAAGCGUGGGGAGCAAACAGGAUUAGAUACCCGAGUAGUCCCUGUCUCUUAUAC